ACGAACGCUGGCGGCACGCCUAACACAUGCAAGUCGAGCGGAGAUUGAGAGCUUGCUCUCAUGAUCAGCGGCGGACGGGUGAGUAACACGUGAGCAACCUGCCUUUCAGAGGGGGACAACAGUUGGAAACGACUGCUAAUACCGCAUAACAUUGCCGAACGGCAUCGUUUGGCAAUCAAAGGAGCAAUCCGCUGAAAGAUGGGCUCGCGUCUGAUUAGAUAGUUGGUGAGGUAACGGCUCACCAAGUCGACGAUCAGUAGCCGGACUGAGAGGUUGAUCGGCCACAUUGGGACUGAGACACGGCCCAGACUCCUACGGGAGGCAGCAGUGGGGGAUAUUGGACAAUGGGGGAAACCCUGAUCCAGCGAUGCCGCGUGAGGGAAGAAGGUUUUCGGAUUGUAAACCUCUGUGGACAGGGACGAUAAUGACGGUACCUGUUUAGAAAGCCACGGCUAACUACGUGCCAGCAGCCGCGGUAAUACGUAGGUGGCGAGCGUUGUCCGGAAUUACUGGGUGUAAAGGGAGCGCAGGCGGUGCGGCAAGUCUGAUGUGAAAGCCCGGGGCUCAACCCCGGUACUGCAUUGGAAACUGUCGUACUAGAGUGUCGGAGGGGUAAGCGGAAUUCCUAGUGUAGCGGUGAAAUGCGUAGAUAUUAGGAGGAACACCAGUGGCGAAGGCGGCUUGCUGGGCCUUUACUGACGCUGAGGCUCGAAAGCGUGGGGAGCAAACAGGAUUAGAUACCCUGGUAGUCCACGCUGUAAACGAUGAUUACUAGGUGUGGGGGAUUUCGGUCCUCCGUGCCGGAGCAAACGCAAUAAGUAAUCCACCUGGGGAGUACGGCCGCAAGGCUGAAACUCAAAGGAAUUGACGGGGGCCCGCACAAGCAGUGGAGUAUGUGGUUUAAUUCGAAGCAACGCGAAGAACCUUACCAGGUCUUGACAUCGAGUGACGAUCCCAGAGAUGGGAUUUCCCUUCGGGGCACGAAGACAGGUGGUGCAUGGUUGUCGUCAGCUCGUGUCGUGAGAUGUUGGGUUAAGUCCCGCAACGAGCGCAACCCUUACUAUUAGUUGCUACGCAAGAGCACUCUAAUAGGACUGCCGUUGAUAAAACGGAGGAAGGUGGGGAUGACGUCAAAUCAUCAUGCCCUUUAUGACCUGGGCUACACACGUACUACAAUGGCGUUUAACAAAGAGAAGCGAAACCGCGAGGUUGAGCAAAUCCCCAAAAAACGUCUCAGUUCAGAUUGCAGGCUGCAACUCGCCUGCAUGAAGUCGGAAUUGCUAGUAAUCGUAGGUCAGCAUACUACGGUGAAUACGUUCCCGGGCCUUGUACACACCGCCCGUCAAACCAUGAGAGUUGGCAACACCCGAAGCCGGUAGUCUAACCGCAAGGAGGACGCCGUCGAAGGUGGGGUCGAUGAUUAGGGUU
rnacentral:rRNA from 1 species